rnacentral:rRNA from 1 species
GACGAACGCUGGCGGCGUGCCUAAUACAUGCAAGUCGAACGCUUCUUUCCUCCCGAGUGCUUGCACUCAAUUGGAAAGAGGAGUGGCGGACGGGUGAGUAACACGUGGUAAACUACCCAGUCAACGGGGGAAAACCGUAGAAAACAGCGGCUAAUACUCUAAACCGUUUUAUUCCCAAGGGAAAAACGGUCAAGGCGUCUUUCGGGGUUGGCUCCGCGGUGCAUUAGCGAGUUGGUAAGGUAACGGCUUACCAAGGCAACGAUGCAUAGCCGACCUGAGAGGGUGAUCGGCCACACUGGAACUGAGACACGGCCCAGACUCCUACGGGAGGCAGCAGUAGGGAAUCUUCGGCAAUGGACGAAAGUCUGACCGAGCAACGCCGCGUGAGUGAAGAAGGUUUUCGGAUCGUAAAACUCUGUUGUUAGAGAAGAACAAGGACGUUAGUAACUGAACGUCCCCUGACGGUAUCUAACCAGAAAGCCACGGCUAACUACGUG